rnacentral:lncRNA from 1 species
UUUAUUGGGUUUUCUAAUUUUUUUCUUUUAUGAUAAAUUAAAUACUAAGACAUAAUAGAAUAAAUAAGAAGAGCAAAUAGAAACUUACUUGAUAAAUUGGGAGGAACUCCCACAAGCUGGAUGUUGACGUCGGUCUUACCCGAUGUUCCAGAACCGCAUCAUGGUUGUGAUGUUGUCGUUCAUUGUUGUUGUAUCUUGUCUUAGCUCUUCUACUGUAGCGGUAUGGUCCUGGUUCCAUUUUUGUUGCUAUUCCAGGAGUCUUCCAUGUUCUGCUUGCGUGUUCUGGAUGUCGAGGAGGGUGUUGUCGGUACGAGUGAAGAAAGCACCGGCCUCUUGGUAGUAGUCAUUCGUGAAAGCGUAGGAGCCGUCGGAGUAUCGUCCUGCAUCAAAUUGGGGUGGAGGUCUGGAUCCUGAAGCUCCAUAUGGAUCAGUGGAGUACCUGCCCGUAUGAAAAGGCGGGUUUGUCCACUGGUGAUCUUGGCUCUCCGGCCAUGUCUCCUCUGUUGGCUCUUGUGGUUGCGCAUGACGAGCCCAUGGGUCUCGAAGGACUCAUGGAUUGUAAUCGCAAUAAUGCAGGUGCGCUGCUUCUCCUGGUCCGGGAUCAGC